CAGAAGUCAAAUGGCAAAAUCAAAAGCUCAAACACAACAAACGAAUUGAUAACAACUGUCAUAUUCCUGACUUCGUAUAGGAAUUUUCUUAUUUUGAAAAUUGUGGAUUUAACCUCGUUUUAUACCUAUCAAAAAUCUCUCACGUGAAUGUCAGUCGCAUACAAUUCCAUUAUGUUGACAACAAUGUGUGAACAAAACAAAC
rnacentral:lncRNA from 1 species